UAGAGUUUGGCUCUAAAAUUAAUUUAACCGUUUUAUACGAUUCUUACUGAAUUUAACACAGAGUUUUUAGAUUCAGAAUAAAUUUUUUGAAUUGAAUCAAACCGGAGGUUCGUUUUUAAUUUUACUUUCGAACUUGGAAUUUUUGUUCAGUGCAAAAUGCUAUGCUGGUCAAACUCGCCUCGCGGCCCACUGUGAAGCUGUCAAGCUGUGUUUUGUUUUGAUAAAAAAUGAGGCGUCCCUUUGUGAAGGUAGCUCGCAACAAACGAUCGACAGCACGGUUCGUGUACGUGCAGCUGCGGGAAGGGCUGUAUUGCUGGAAGGUUGCUGGUAGCUGGUUGCUGGUAGCUGCAGCUGCGGGAAGGGCUGUAUUGCUGGAAGGUUGCUGGUAGCUGCAGCUGCGGGAAGGGCUGUAUUGCUGGAAGGUUGCUGGUAGCUGGUUGCUGGUAGCUGCAGCUGCUGGUGUUUCAUCGUUCCGGUACGCCACGAAGACCUCAAAGUUUUUUGUGAUAUAAAAAUAAACGAAAAGAAAGAAAGAAAAUUGGUUUUUUUAUUUUUUGUUCGGAUAGAUGGGAGGCUUGUCCUCGCCCCUUUUAGGUUGCGAUUGGUGGCGCGCCGUGGCUUCCAGAGUUUUGGCUAACGGUUAGCGCGUUAGUUUAGCAUUAGAUUUAUUAUCUGAAUAUUAUAUUACGGUACCGAGCACAAUUGCGUAUCUCGAGUUUCACACGUACGUGCGGAUUCCUAUGGAAAGAAUAGUUUACGCUGCCGGCUUCGAGGGUUGAAAUAUAUCGGCACAGAGGUUUGCAUAAAUGUUUUGUUCUUUUGUUGUUGUAAAACAGUAGGUAUUGUUUGCGCAAAUUUAAUGCAAAAUUUAUUAGUUUAUUUUAGCAUUACAUUCAUUAUCUGAUAUACGUUAAAGUACGGGACCGAGCAUAAUAGCGUAUGUCGAGUUACACACGUACGUGCGGAUUCCGAUGGAAAGAAUAGUUUACACUGCCGGCUUCGAGGGUUGAAAUAUAUCGGCACAGAGGUUCGCCGCAUUAAUGUUUUAGAGUUUGGCUCUAAAAUUAAUUUAACCGUUUUAUACGAUUCUUACUGAAUUUAACACAGAGUUUUUAGAUUCAGAAUAAAUUUUUUGAAUUGAAUCAAACCGGAGGUUCGUUUUUAAUUUUACUUUCGAACUUGGAAUUUUUGUUCAGUGCAAAAUGCUAUGCUGGUCAAACUCGCCUCGCGGCCCACUGUGAAGCUGUCAAGCUGUGUUUUGUUUUGAUAAAAAAUGAGGCGUCCCUUUGUGAAGGUAGCUCGCAACAAACGAUCGACAGCACGGUUCGUGUACGUGCAGCUGCGGGAAGGGCUGUAUUGCUGGAAGGUUGCUGGUAGCUGGUUGCUGGUAGCUGCAGCUGCGGGAAGGGCUGUAUUGCUGGAAGGUUGCUGGUAGCUGCAGCUGCGGGAAGGGCUGUAUUGCUGGAAGGUUGCUGGUAGCUGGUUGCUGGUAGCUGCAGCUGCUGGUGUUUCAUCGUUCCGGUACGCCACGAAGACCUCAAAGUUUUUUGUGAUAUAAAAAUAAACGAAAAGAAAGAAAGAAAAUUGGUUUUUUUAUUUUUUGUUCGGAUAGAUGGGAGGCUUGUCCUCGCCCCUUUUAGGUUGCGAUUGGUGGCGCGCCGUGGCUUCCAGAGUUUUGGCUAACGGUUAGCGCGUUAGUUUAGCAUUAGAUUUAUUAUCUGAAUAUUAUAUUACGGUACCGAGCACAAUUGCGUAUCUCGAGUUUCACACGUACGUGCGGAUUCCUAUGGAAAGAAUAGUUUACGCUGCCGGCUUCGAGGGUUGAAAUAUAUCGGCACAGAGGUUUGCAUAAAUGUUUUGUUCUUUUGUUGUUGUAAAACAGUAGGUAUUGUUUGCGCAAAUUUAAUGCAAAAUUUAUUAGUUUAUUUUAGCAUUACAUUCAUUAUCUGAUAUACGUUAAAGUACGGGACCGAGCAUAAUAGCGUAUGUCGAGUUACACACGUACGUGCGGAUUCCGAUGGAAAGAAUAGUUUACACUGCCGGCUUCGAGGGUUGAAAUAUAUCGGCACAGAGGUUCGCCGCAUUAAUGUUUUAGAGUUUGGCUCUAAAAUUAAUUUAACCGUUUUAUACGAUUCUUACUGAAUUUAACACAGAGUUUUUAGAUUCAGAAUAAAUUUUUUGAAUUGAAUCAAACCGGAGGUUCGUUUUUAAUUUUACUUUCGAACUUGGAAUUUUUGUUCAGUGCAAAAUGCUAUGCUGGUCAAACUCGCCUCGCGGCCCACUGUGAAGCUGUCAAGCUGUGUUUUGUUUUGAUAAAAAAUGAGGCGUCCCUUUGUGAAGGUAGCUCGCAACAAACGAUCGACAGCACGGUUCGUGUACGUGCAGCUGCGGGAAGGGCUGUAUUGCUGGAAGGUUGCUGGUAGCUGGUUGCUGGUAGCUGCAGCUGCGGGAAGGGCUGUAUUGCUGGAAGGUUGCUGGUAGCUGCAGCUGCGGGAAGGGCUGUAUUGCUGGAAGGUUGCUGGUAGCUGGUUGCUGGUAGCUGCAGCUGCUGGUGUUUCAUCGUUCCGGUACGCCACGAAGACCUCAAAGUUUUUUGUGAUAUAAAAAUAAACGAAAAGAAAGAAAGAAAAUUGGUUUUUUUAUUUUUUGUUCGGAUAGAUGGGAGGCUUGUCCUCGCCCCUUUUAGGUUGCGAUUGGUGGCGCGCCGUGGCUUCCAGAGUUUUGGCUAACGGUUAGCGCGUUAGUUUAGCAUUAGAUUUAUUAUCUGAAUAUUAUAUUACGGUACCGAGCACAAUUGCGUAUCUCGAGUUUCACACGUACGUGCGGAUUCCUAUGGAAAGAAUAGUUUACGCUGCCGGCUUCGAGGGUUGAAAUAUAUCGGCACAGAGGUUUGCAUAAAUGUUUUGUUCUUUUGUUGUUGUAAAACAGUAGGUAUUGUUUGCGCAAAUUUAAUGCAAAAUUUAUUAGUUUAUUUUAGCAUUACAUUCAUUAUCUGAUAUACGUUAAAGUACGGGACCGAGCAUAAUAGCGUAUGUCGAGUUACACACGUACGUGCGGAUUCCGAUGGAAAGAAUAGUUUACACUGCCGGCUUCGAGGGUUGAAAUAUAUCGGCACAGAGGUUCGCCGCAUUAAUGUUUUAGAGUUUGGCUCUAAAAUUAAUUUAACCGUUUUAUACGAUUCUUACUGAAUUUAACACAGAGUUUUUAGAUUCAGAAUAAAUUUUUUGAAUUGAAUCAAACCGGAGGUUCGUUUUUAAUUUUACUUUCGAACUUGGAAUUUUUGUUCAGUGCAAAAUGCUAUGCUGGUCAAACUCGCCUCGCGGCCCACUGUGAAGCUGUCAAGCUGUGUUUUGUUUUGAUAAAAAAUGAGGCGUCCCUUUGUGAAGGUAGCUCGCAACAAACGAUCGACAGCACGGUUCGUGUACGUGCAGCUGCGGGAAGGGCUGUAUUGCUGGAAGGUUGCUGGUAGCUGGUUGCUGGUAGCUGCAGCUGCGGGAAGGGCUGUAUUGCUGGAAGGUUGCUGGUAGCUGCAGCUGCGGGAAGGGCUGUAUUGCUGGAAGGUUGCUGGUAGCUGGUUGCUGGUAGCUGCAGCUGCUGGUGUUUCAUCGUUCCGGUACGCCACGAAGACCUCAAAGUUUUUUGUGAUAUAAAAAUAAACGAAAAGAAAGAAAGAAAAUUGGUUUUUUUAUUUUUUGUUCGGAUAGAUGGGAGGCUUGUCCUCGCCCCUUUUAGGUUGCGAUUGGUGGCGCGCCGUGGCUUCCAGAGUUUUGGCUAACGGUUAGCGCGUUAGUUUAGCAUUAGAUUUAUUAUCUGAAUAUUAUAUUACGGUACCGAGCACAAUUGCGUAUCUCGAGUUUCACACGUACGUGCGGAUUCCUAUGGAAAGAAUAGUUUACGCUGCCGGCUUCGAGGGUUGAAAUAUAUCGGCACAGAGGUUUGCAUAAAUGUUUUGUUCUUUUGUUGUUGUAAAACAGUAGGUAUUGUUUGCGCAAAUUUAAUGCAAAAUUUAUUAGUUUAUUUUAGCAUUACAUUCAUUAUCUGAUAUACGUUAAAGUACGGGACCGAGCAUAAUAGCGUAUGUCGAGUUACACACGUACGUGCGGAUUCCGAUGGAAAGAAUAGUUUACACUGCCGGCUUCGAGGGUUGAAAUAUAUCGGCACAGAGGUUCGCCGCAUUAAUGUUUUAGAGUUUGGCUCUAAAAUUAAUUUAACCGUUUUAUACGAUUCUUACUGAAUUUAACACAGAGUUUUUAGAUUCAGAAUAAAUUUUUUGAAUUGAAUCAAACCGGAGGUUCGUUUUUAAUUUUACUUUCGAACUUGGAAUUUUUGUUCAGUGCAAAAUGCUAUGCUGGUCAAACUCGCCUCGCGGCCCACUGUGAAGCUGUCAAGCUGUGUUUUGUUUUGAUAAAAAAUGAGGCGUCCCUUUGUGAAGGUAGCUCGCAACAAACGAUCGACAGCACGGUUCGUGUACGUGCAGCUGCGGGAAGGGCUGUAUUGCUGGAAGGUUGCUGGUAGCUGGUUGCUGGUAGCUGCAGCUGCGGGAAGGGCUGUAUUGCUGGAAGGUUGCUGGUAGCUGCAGCUGCGGGAAGGGCUGUAUUGCUGGAAGGUUGCUGGUAGCUGGUUGCUGGUAGCUGCAGCUGCUGGUGUUUCAUCGUUCCGGUACGCCACGAAGACCUCAAAGUUUUUUGUGAUAUAAAAAUAAACGAAAAGAAAGAAAGAAAAUUGGUUUUUUUAUUUUUUGUUCGGAUAGAUGGGAGGCUUGUCCUCGCCCCUUUUAGGUUGCGAUUGGUGGCGCGCCGUGGCUUCCAGAGUUUUGGCUAACGGUUAGCGCGUUAGUUUAGCAUUAGAUUUAUUAUCUGAAUAUUAUAUUACGGUACCGAGCACAAUUGCGUAUCUCGAGUUUCACACGUACGUGCGGAUUCCUAUGGAAAGAAUAGUUUACGCUGCCGGCUUCGAGGGUUGAAAUAUAUCGGCACAGAGGUUUGCAUAAAUGUUUUGUUCUUUUGUUGUUGUAAAACAGUAGGUAUUGUUUGCGCAAAUUUAAUGCAAAAUUUAUUAGUUUAUUUUAGCAUUACAUUCAUUAUCUGAUAUACGUUAAAGUACGGGACCGAGCAUAAUAGCGUAUGUCGAGUUACACACGUACGUGCGGAUUCCGAUGGAAAGAAUAGUUUACACUGCCGGCUUCGAGGGUUGAAAUAUAUCGGCACAGAGGUUCGCCGCAUUAAUGUUUUAGAGUUUGGCUCUAAAAUUAAUUUAACCGUUUUAUACGAUUCUUACUGAAUUUAACACAGAGUUUUUAGAUUCAGAAUAAAUUUUUUGAAUUGAAUCAAACCGGAGGUUCGUUUUUAAUUUUACUUUCGAACUUGGAAUUUUUGUUCAGUGCAAAAUGCUAUGCUGGUCAAACUCGCCUCGCGGCCCACUGUGAAGCUGUCAAGCUGUGUUUUGUUUUGAUAAAAAAUGAGGCGUCCCUUUGUGAAGGUAGCUCGCAACAAACGAUCGACAGCACGGUUCGUGUACGUGCAGCUGCGGGAAGGGCUGUAUUGCUGGAAGGUUGCUGGUAGCUGGUUGCUGGUAGCUGCAGCUGCGGGAAGGGCUGUAUUGCUGGAAGGUUGCUGGUAGCUGCAGCUGCGGGAAGGGCUGUAUUGCUGGAAGGUUGCUGGUAGCUGGUUGCUGGUAGCUGCAGCUGCUGGUGUUUCAUCGUUCCGGUACGCCACGAAGACCUCAAAGUUUUUUGUGAUAUAAAAAUAAACGAAAAGAAAGAAAGAAAAUUGGUUUUUUUAUUUUUUGUUCGGAUAGAUGGGAGGCUUGUCCUCGCCCCUUUUAGGUUGCGAUUGGUGGCGCGCCGUGGCUUCCAGAGUUUUGGCUAACGGUUAGCGCGUUAGUUUAGCAUUAGAUUUAUUAUCUGAAUAUUAUAUUACGGUACCGAGCACAAUUGCGUAUCUCGAGUUUCACACGUACGUGCGGAUUCCUAUGGAAAGAAUAGUUUACGCUGCCGGCUUCGAGGGUUGAAAUAUAUCGGCACAGAGGUUUGCAUAAAUGUUUUGUUCUUUUGUUGUUGUAAAACAGUAGGUAUUGUUUGCGCAAAUUUAAUGCAAAAUUUAUUAGUUUAUUUUAGCAUUACAUUCAUUAUCUGAUAUACGUUAAAGUACGGGACCGAGCAUAAUAGCGUAUGUCGAGUUACACACGUACGUGCGGAUUCCGAUGGAAAGAAUAGUUUACACUGCCGGCUUCGAGGGUUGAAAUAUAUCGGCACAGAGGUUCGCCGCAUUAAUGUUUUAGAGUUUGGCUCUAAAAUUAAUUUAACCGUUUUAUACGAUUCUUACUGAAUUUAACACAGAGUUUUUAGAUUCAGAAUAAAUUUUUUGAAUUGAAUCAAACCGGAGGUUCGUUUUUAAUUUUACUUUCGAACUUGGAAUUUUUGUUCAGUGCAAAAUGCUAUGCUGGUCAAACUCGCCUCGCGGCCCACUGUGAAGCUGUCAAGCUGUGUUUUGUUUUGAUAAAAAAUGAGGCGUCCCUUUGUGAAGGUAGCUCGCAACAAACGAUCGACAGCACGGUUCGUGUACGUGCAGCUGCGGGAAGGGCUGUAUUGCUGGAAGGUUGCUGGUAGCUGGUUGCUGGUAGCUGCAGCUGCGGGAAGGGCUGUAUUGCUGGAAGGUUGCUGGUAGCUGCAGCUGCGGGAAGGGCUGUAUUGCUGGAAGGUUGCUGGUAGCUGGUUGCUGGUAGCUGCAGCUGCUGGUGUUUCAUCGUUCCGGUACGCCACGAAGACCUCAAAGUUUUUUGUGAUAUAAAAAUAAACGAAAAGAAAGAAAGAAAAUUGGUUUUUUUAUUUUUUGUUCGGAUAGAUGGGAGGCUUGUCCUCGCCCCUUUUAGGUUGCGAUUGGUGGCGCGCCGUGGCUUCCAGAGUUUUGGCUAACGGUUAGCGCGUUAGUUUAGCAUUAGAUUUAUUAUCUGAAUAUUAUAUUACGGUACCGAGCACAAUUGCGUAUCUCGAGUUUCACACGUACGUGCGGAUUCCUAUGGAAAGAAUAGUUUACGCUGCCGGCUUCGAGGGUUGAAAUAUAUCGGCACAGAGGUUUGCAUAAAUGUUUUGUUCUUUUGUUGUUGUAAAACAGUAGGUAUUGUUUGCGCAAAUUUAAUGCAAAAUUUAUUAGUUUAUUUUAGCAUUACAUUCAUUAUCUGAUAUACGUUAAAGUACGGGACCGAGCAUAAUAGCGUAUGUCGAGUUACACACGUACGUGCGGAUUCCGAUGGAAAGAAUAGUUUACACUGCCGGCUUCGAGGGUUGAAAUAUAUCGGCACAGAGGUUCGCCGCAUUAAUGUUUUAGAGUUUGGCUCUAAAAUUAAUUUAACCGUUUUAUACGAUUCUUACUGAAUUUAACACAGAGUUUUUAGAUUCAGAAUAAAUUUUUUGAAUUGAAUCAAACCGGAGGUUCGUUUUUAAUUUUACUUUCGAACUUGGAAUUUUUGUUCAGUGCAAAAUGCUAUGCUGGUCAAACUCGCCUCGCGGCCCACUGUGAAGCUGUCAAGCUGUGUUUUGUUUUGAUAAAAAAUGAGGCGUCCCUUUGUGAAGGUAGCUCGCAACAAACGAUCGACAGCACGGUUCGUGUACGUGCAGCUGCGGGAAGGGCUGUAUUGCUGGAAGGUUGCUGGUAGCUGGUUGCUGGUAGCUGCAGCUGCGGGAAGGGCUGUAUUGCUGGAAGGUUGCUGGUAGCUGGUUGCUGGUAGCUGCAGCUGCUGGUGUUUCAUCGUUCCGGUACGCCACGAAGACCUCAAAGUUUUUUGUGAUAUAAAAAUAAACGAAAAGAAAGAAAGAAAAUUGGUUUUUUUAUUUUUUGUUCGGAUAGAUGGGAGGCUUGUCCUCGCCCCUUUUAGGUUGCGAUUGGUGGCGCGCCGUGGCUUCCAGAGUUUUGGCUAACGGUUAGCGCGUUAGUUUAGCAUUAGAUUUAUUAUCUGAAUAUUAUAUUACGGUACCGAGCACAAUUGCGUAUCUCGAGUUUCACACGUACGUGCGGAUUCCUAUGGAAAGAAUAGUUUACGCUGCCGGCUUCGAGGGUUGAAAUAUAUCGGCACAGAGGUUUGCAUAAAUGUUUUGUUCUUUUGUUGUUGUAAAACAGUAGGUAUUGUUUGCGCAAAUUUAAUGCAAAAUUUAUUAGUUUAUUUUAGCAUUACAUUCAUUAUCUGAUAUACGUUAAAGUACGGGACCGAGCAUAAUAGCGUAUGUCGAGUUACACACGUACGUGCGGAUUCCGAUGGAAAGAAUAGUUUACACUGCCGGCUUCGAGGGUUGAAAUAUAUCGGCACAGAGGUUCGCCGCAUUAAUGUUUUAGAGUUUGGCUCUAAAAUUAAUUUAACCGUUUUAUACGAUUCUUACUGAAUUUAACACAGAGUUUUUAGAUUCAGAAUAAAUUUUUUGAAUUGAAUCAAACCGGAGGUUCGUUUUUAAUUUUACUUUCGAACUUGGAAUUUUUGUUCAGUGCAAAAUGCUAUGCUGGUCAAACUCGCCUCGCGGCCCACUGUGAAGCUGUCAAGCUGUGUUUUGUUUUGAUAAAAAAUGAGGCGUCCCUUUGUGAAGGUAGCUCGCAACAAACGAUCGACAGCACGGUUCGUGUACGUGCAGCUGCGGGAAGGGCUGUAUUGCUGGAAGGUUGCUGGUAGCUGGUUGCUGGUAGCUGCAGCUGCGGGAAGGGCUGUAUUGCUGGAAGGUUGCUGGUAGCUGCAGCUGCGGGAAGGGCUGUAUUGCUGGAAGGUUGCUGGUAGCUGGUUGCUGGUAGCUGCAGCUGCUGGUGUUUCAUCGUUCCGGUACGCCACGAAGACCUCAAAGUUUUUUGUGAUAUAAAAAUAAACGAAAAGAAAGAAAGAAAAUUGGUUUUUUUAUUUUUUGUUCGGAUAGAUGGGAGGCUUGUCCUCGCCCCUUUUAGGUUGCGAUUGGUGGCGCGCCGUGGCUUCCAGAGUUUUGGCUAACGGUUAGCGCGUUAGUUUAGCAUUAGAUUUAUUAUCUGAAUAUUAUAUUACGGUACCGAGCACAAUUGCGUAUCUCGAGUUUCACACGUACGUGCGGAUUCCUAUGGAAAGAAUAGUUUACGCUGCCGGCUUCGAGGGUUGAAAUAUAUCGGCACAGAGGUUUGCAUAAAUGUUUUGUUCUUUUGUUGUUGUAAAACAGUAGGUAUUGUUUGCGCAAAUUUAAUGCAAAAUUUAUUAGUUUAUUUUAGCAUUACAUUCAUUAUCUGAUAUACGUUAAAGUACGGGACCGAGCAUAAUAGCGUAUGUCGAGUUACACACGUACGUGCGGAUUCCGAUGGAAAGAAUAGUUUACACUGCCGGCU